AUGUCCCCUUCUGUGAACCUUCCAGUGUCCGGAACCGCCACCUGCUCCAGAAUGCUGGUACUUCAGAGCAAAAUGCCUGGUCCCAUUUCCUCACCUCCCACUCAUGCUUCAACCCACCAGAAGAUUUCUGUCCCUGCUGUGCUACAAGAAAAGCCUUGUCAAGAAUAACCUGUACAUGUUCAAGUAUGAGGAGACUUCCUAUAACCCAUGGAGGGUGCCGUGUGUGCUGCUGUGGGCUUUGUUCCUGCCGGGAGACGGAGUGCUCUCUUUUGCCGUUUUUAAAGAGAUCCAUCUCAUCAGCCUCAGAUCACCAUCUACCACUGAGGCCCAGUGAAGCCAGCCUUCCUACGCCCAGUGAGAUGACCCUGGAAACAGACUGAUGCCAACCUGAAUAUAUGAACUUCUGGUGUGAUGUGAAUGAAAAUAUAUCUUGUUCACUGAGUUUGCUAUACAUUUAGUGUUUUUAUUUUGU
rnacentral:lncRNA from 1 species